AUUACCCUACGGGAGGCAGCAGUGGGGAAUAUUGGGCAAUGGGCGCAAGCCUGACCCAGCAAUGCCGCGUGAAGGAAGAAGGCCCUCGGGUUGUAAACUUCUUUUAUCAGGGACGAAGGAUGUGACGGUACCUGCAAAGGAAGCACCGGCUAACUCCGUGCCAGCAGCCGCGGUAAUACGGAGGGUGCGAGCGUUAAUCGGAAUUACUGGGCGUAAAGCGCUCGUAGGCGGUAUGUCAAGUCAAGGGUGAAAUCCCCGCGCUCAACGUGGGAACUGCCUUUGAAACUGGCAAACUGGAGUGUGUG
rnacentral:rRNA from 1 species